AUUAAAGUUCAAAAAGGCAGCAAUGUUCACGUUGAGCGUCUUCAGUUUCCUCUUGUAAUCAGUGAAGGAAUUACAAUCCACAAGAGUCAAGGUGCCACCUACAAACAGAUGGCUGUUCACGUUGGAAAUCGCAUGAGGAGAACCAGUACCUAUGUUGCUUGUAGUCGGGCCACAAAGCUUAGUGGCCUCUACAUCAUUGGUAACUUUAAGGCCCCCAAACCGGUAACCGAAAAGGAUGCCGCUUAUAAAGAACUGGAAAUUAAGUUUGAAGACGAUAUUACUACUUUGAUACAACUCUGGUACCGCUCUUUCCAAAAAUAGACUGCCAACCUGUGGAGAAUAUAGAAAAAAGAACCUACGAGAGAAGUAUAUGCCCUAUACCCGCCUCCUCGACACCCUACCCUUAUCCGACGGCUACAUACUAUAAUAGCAGAGGCCGCCGCAGAAGAAUUUACCAAUACUAGUGUUUCUGAAGAGAGAAAUAAAAUGGAGUAAAAAAUUUCAUAAUUCUAGAUAAUUUUAUAGUU